AUUCCGGUUGAUCCUGCCGGAGGCCAUUGCUAUCGGAAUCCGAUUUAGCCAUGCUAGUCGCACGGGUUAGACCCGUGGCGAACAGCUCAGUAACACGUGGCCAAACUACCCUGUGGACGGGGAUAAUCUCGGGAAACUGAGGCUAAUCCCCGAUAGGGCUUCCAUCCUGGAGUGGAGGAAGUCCGAAAGGUUGCGCUGCGGCACCACAGGAUGUGGCUGCGGCCGAUUAGGUAGACGGUGGGGUAACGGCCCACCGUGCCAGUAAUCGGUACGGGUGAUGAGAGUCAGAGCCCGGAGACGGUAUCUGAGACAAGAUACCGGGCCCUACGGGGCGCAGCAGGCGCGAAACCUUUACACUGCACGACAGUGCGAUAGGGGGAUUCCGAGUGCGAGGGCAUACAGUCCUCGCUUUUCUGGAUCGUAAGGAGAUGCAAGAAUAAGGGCUGGGCAAGACCGGUGCCAGCCGCCGCGGUAAUACCGGCAGCCCGAGUGAUGGCCGAUAUUAUUGGGCCUAAAGCGUCCGUAGCU
rnacentral:rRNA from 1 species